GCUCGCCAUCCCCCGGAGUGUUUUGUCGUACAAAUAAUAUUUUCAUUUAGUGUUUUGUACGUGUAUAUAUUUUUAUUUUUUUCUCUCAUUCAAACCAGCGGCUCUAGAAUGUUUUUGCCCGUAACACGAAACCCAACGCCAUAACCGGACAGUGUUGUUAUUCUCACGAUUUUCUAAACAUCGUUAUUAUUAUUGCAGGCAAAUUCCCAAACAAAAUAAGCAAACGCGAAAAAUGUGUCGCUUUUGUUUCUGCGCGUCCCGUGUUCGGAACAGGUAUAAUAAUAAUAUCGAGAUAACUGUUUUAGGACGUACAAACAGCG